GGGGUGGGGUUUGGGGUCAGGGACACGAGCCAAGUGCCAGGCACUGAGAAAUUAAACCUGUUGUUCCGAUCUUAAGAGACAAUAACAUGUCCACUGUUCAGACAGACAGACACCUUCUGGGAAGACAGGGUAACUUCAAGUAGGGAAGACUGGAAAAGUGAGGGUAAGGGGCUGGUUUUAUAGUAAGGAAGAAGAGAUUUGCAGACAAAGCAGAAGGCUCUGGAGGGGCUCCUGUCUCUGACAGAAAAAGAGGGGGGAUUAAGAAAAAGUGAUAAUAGUUAGCAAACAGAAAGAUCAGAUUAGGACCAAAUAUACUGAUAGAAUGCCUGAGAAUCUAUCAGGUAGGUCAUGGGGACUGCUGAGGGUGGGUGUCUGGGCAAAGAACAGCUCUCUCAUACACACUGGGGUGAGGUAGGUUGUAGAUGAGGAGUAAACAGGGAGGGGAAUGGGGUGGAUCCCAGUGGAGAGUGCCAGGUCUAAAUCAGAGGGGGAAGUGCUGAGAUCCUAGAGUGAGGACCUCCAAUGGUCACCACUGGAGGAAGGGUGGAGGUAGGAGAUGGGAAAGUGAAGUCCAGAGAGUACAGGUGGCGUCCACACCAGUGAUUCUUAACCGGGGGGUGGGGGGGGUGGAUUCCACCCGAGGGGGGGGCGCUGUGGGCACGGCCCCCAGGUAGGCCUAUCAGAGCAUCAGGGGGAGCACUGAUUUGCUCACAAACAGAAACAGCAACAACAAACUGACCCAAAGAUGACUCUGAUAGGCCACCUGGGUGUCGAGCAUCCCCGGGUGGGAAUCACUGGUGGAGGGGGGAGAAAGGAAAUGGGGGAGAGAUGGGAGGGUGAGCACCUGACACCUGUGAGUCAGAGUAGGUGGAGGCAUCAGAGAUAUGACUGUCAAUCAUGGGAGGAAAGGCCCAUUAGACCAAAGAAAUGGAUGAAGCAGGGAGGCACCUGGGAGGAUGGAGGCUGAGUGGGGAUUUUCUGCCAAGGGCAGGGACAGCAGCAACAACAGUGUGGUUCCAGCUGAGGACUGAGGUGGAAGUGAGGCUGAGAAGGGUGGGUGGCACACAGGAGGACGAUGUGUGGGUGUGGGCAGAGAGGAGCAGGCAGGUAAUACACAGGAAAGGAAGAGGCAAAGGGGAGUGGAGCCAGCACUGAAGGUGAGCUCAUGGAGGAGCUGACUGCGGACAACGUAAAGAAAGAGCAGAGGCAGUGGGUGGGAUGGAUGGCAGUGUCCAGGAAGACACUGUUGUUGGGCCCAGUGUCAAGUCAGCCUGAGAAUGGGGGUGUGUGCACUGGGAUAUAGUGGCAAGUGCAGGGCAGGAGUGAGGGCAGGAGACAAGUGUGUGUGUGUGUGGGGGGGGGGCAGGAACAAGGUAGGUGAAUCAGGAGAUGCUUCUUAAGAGCCUUUUCAGAAUGUGAAAGAAAGAAUGUGAAAGGCCACCUGAAAGUAUUCAGGGACUCAUGGACCCAGAGCUCCAAAUAGAACCCACAGCCUGCAGCCACAGGGACUGCUGGGUAGAACAUGGAGGUCUGGUUCAAUCUUUGUGAUGCAAAGCUCACUGAAUGUGGGGGAGCAGUGGUUGUGAAGGGCAGGUCGAAAAGGGUGUGCACACACAGGAGGACUACUGGAUCAGCCAGCUGAUUCACAGAUGGCAGCUGAAAGAAUGGCAGAUGGGGAGGAGAUGACUGGCCCUCCCUAUGCAGUAGAGACAAAAGCAGGAGAAAGGAUCAGCUGGGCCCAGGAGAGGGCAGAGGAGGUGAGGGGUUUACACAUGUUGCAGAGCAGUGGGCAAGAAGAAUGAGAAAGCAGAGGAAGGAGCCCAGCAUCUGGGAGAGGAGAAGGCUGUUGAGAGAUUGGGGAAGUACUGCACCAAGAAAGGCGCAUCAGGACUGAGAAGGGAGAGAAAGUGAUGAAUAUGGGUGAGCAAAGGCAAGCAGAAAAGAACAUGGCACUGGUAAGACAUGAAGGAGAGGUACAAGGAGGCCAAAAGUAAUGAGGUUGAAGUGAUUUUGACAUAUAGGAAAUGUUAGUAUCAAUAAAAGGCAUGGCAAAUGAUGAAAGCUCACAGGGUUCACAAGUCUCAGACCAAAAUGAAUGUCUCUCCUAAAGUGGAAUUGAGAGACUAGGAUUGUUAGUGGUAUAUUCAGAUGGCAGAUGAAGUGAUAAAAGCAUACUGGGCACCAAGAGGCUGGCCAUAUGGCAGCAGUGAGGGCAGAUCAAUAAGGGAACAGAAAAAGAAGGAGGGACUCCUGAGUCCGUGGACUGACUGGCAGGUAUUGGGAAAUUAUGACUGGAUAUUGAGGAGGAAGCAGAGGGUCCCUGGAUAAGUAAAGUAGGAGAUGUUUUGUUUUCCCAAAACAAUGGAUGUUUUGGCAAAGGUGGAAUGAGAGACACUGAAAUCGGAGUGCUACUGGAAGGAAAUAUGAGGGUUUCAAGUUGUGUCCAGGGAGUGAUGGGGAAAAAAAGGGGCACUUUGAUCAUGAGAUAAUUUCAUGAGACUUUAUUGGCUUCAAUAUACAUGAAGACGCCAAUAUGAAAAAGGGGGCACAUGGAAUGCAUGUUUAGUUCCCAAACCAAGGGCAUCAGCAGAUCUCAGGGAAUAAGUGGGUAUGAUGAAUGGUAUCAAUGUCCACUGUAAGAGCAAAGCAGGGAAGAGAAGCACUUGUAGAAGUGGGCCCUUAGGAAGAAGUAGGGAGGGGGGCCAAAGGGACUCAGGUUAACUAGAAGAAACUGGGUGGUGUUGCACUUUAAGAUGGGUCCUACACAGACAGCACUAUAAGUACCUCAGGGACAUGAGUGGACCCAUGCAGAGUGAGUUCAGUAUGUAAGAGAAAGAGGCUUGCAAAUGGCAGAAGAGGAACUGGGAAUCAAUGUGUGACAGGCAUUUCACAGUGACUACUGAAUCUGUUCUUCUGCUGUUCAAGGGGACUUAGUGAAGCCUGGGUUGGGGAGAACCUUCCAACCCAGUAUGGUGUCAUGGGUUUAGAGGUAGAGGUUAGGUUAGUAGCAAAUGGGCACAGUCGGAAGGAGCCUGGCCCAGAACACAAGGGUUGAGGGAUAGAUAGAAUGGGGGCUUUUCUUCUACAGGCUUUAUCUAGAGGGUGAUGGAGGACAUGAAAAAGAGGGUGUGGAUGCUACCUACAUAAAAAUAAUGUCUUAAAGUGAAGGUAAAAUGGUCAUAUGGUAAUAAGGAAAAAAGCAGCAACACCAGAGGGCCACAGGGGCUGUCAGUGUGACAGGCAGGGUUGUAUUCUCUAUGGUACCUCUUAGAGGGCAUAUGCAAAUAAUGGAGGUGAGAAAAGAAGAGCAAGCGGUGGCAGGACUGGAUAGAAUUUUACAUCAGCCUAGUAAAUGAAAGGGGUUAGAGAAAAGAGAAAGGUUGGCAUGGGCGAGAUGAAGAAGGCAUCUAAUGAAAGGAAGAGGUGGAAUAAAUGGAAAAUUCAGACCAGUGACAAUGAACAGCUGAACAAGAGAAGGUGAGAGAGGGAGGUAGAGAGAUUGAGUAGAAGAGCAAGUCUAAGAAGGGAGCAGACCCCUAUGAAGAACAAAGUAAAUAUGAUGACAUGGCAGGGACUAGGUUGCUGAGAGACAUACAGGUCAAAGAGAUGAGCCAUGAAGCCUACCCUUGACCAAGGAGGCAGAGGAGAAACAGGUCACAAGCCAAAAAGUAUCAAAAAAGGAUGUGGCUGUAGAGGGUACUAUAAUGCAUAGGAACAUCACACACAGAAGAUUAAAGGAUGCCCCAGGGAGGAUGGAGAGUAGAAAAUGGGGGUGGAAGUGGUACAGGCUAGAAAACAAUAGGGAGCAAGAAGAGGGUGAUCUCAGAGUUGGAAUGAAGGCAAUUAAGAGUGCUCAGUUCAGCCUGCAAGGUUUGGCUUGAAGAAAAAACCGGGGUGGAUAGCAAACGGCAGGGAGGAACACAUGCUCUUAGAGCCUUGACCAUUGUUCCAAGCAUGCACAUUUUGUGCCAGGCUGUUUAUUAAGGAACUGGCAGGGAAAGGAGGGUCACAAGGAUGGAACUUGGAAAAGGAAAUGGAUGGAAACUGGGAGGGGAGGGUUGGGGAACAGUGAAGUUCGGGAUGGGGACAGGAGCCUAGCUCCAGACAUUGAGAAGACAUCUCACUGAUUGAGCUGGUGAAUGAUUCCAUGUUGUGUUGAGUAACAACUAGAGACUGGGAAGACUACUGAAUCUACCCAAGGAA